CUGUCUCUGGCUGUCCCAUCCUGGCACGGAUUUAGGGCUGGAAAGGAGGAAGCUCCAGGGGAGUGGGUGUGGGAGUUAUUUCAGCUGGGAGGGGACCCAGGAGGGCAGAACUUCCUCCUUCCAGACAAGCCUGGCGAGCUCUGCCACAACUGGGCCGAGACUCCGGGCUCGUGCUUGACCUAGAAUCGGAGCCAAGCUCCCUCCCCAAAGCACCCAGCCCGUUUGGGAACUCCUGACCCCAAAACACUCGAGGUGAACUCCCCUUUCUCUUUCUCUCUGCACUGCUGAGCACCUUUCCCGCAGCCAGGAGCGAUCUCACCCCUCACACGGAGCUUUCCCAGGAUUUUCUCCACCAGAAAUGUGCGAGGACAUGGAAAAACGAAAGGAAAGUCGCUUCCCAAAGGCCACCCGGACCCUUUGGAGCUCACCCGGACCCUUUGGAGCUCUCCAGGGACGCGGUGGCUGCAGCUCUGCCCUCCCCUCAUUCAUGGUUUCACUCCGCAGCCUGCAGCAAGUGCAGGACUGGGGGUGUUUUAAUUCAGCUCAAGCACAACAUUGAUUGGAGUUUGGAAAACAGCCUGGAAGUGCCUCCUCGUGGAGCUAAUUCGGGGCUUGCAUCUCCUCGGAGCCCUGGGGCUCGCAUUUUGAUGAGCUCCCUCCCGGGAGAGGAGCUGCAUUUCUGUGGAAGCAGGAGGGAUCUGUGCGUUCCUGUGCUGACUAAACCCACCCACGCCUCGGGGCUUAUUUGCAAGCAGAUCCUGCAUGGUUUGUGUCAGUCCUGAUGGAAGGGACUGAUAUUCCCGGGAGCUGGCAUCCCGAUAUUCCUGGGAGCAUCCUCGGUGUGGCUGUGGGGAGGGUUUGGGUUAAUUUUUGUCACCUUGGUGGCUGCAGAGGUGGGGAGGGCAUUGCUGAGCCGUUUUUGGGGUGGGAAUUGGAGCCCUGGAGAGCUGGAGAGGGGGAUGGAGCGGUGAGUUCAGGUCUCCCAGCUCCCUGGAUCUCCUUGAUCUCCAGAUAAAGAUCUGGAAUGUGGCCCAGGAAAAGCUUUGUCAGUGGU
rnacentral:lncRNA from 1 species